CGCGUAGGUGGCGGGACAAGCGUGCGGUGAAAGCUCGGGGCUCAACCCCGAGUCGGCCGUGCGAACUGUUUUGCUUGAGCACUGUAGAGGCAGGCGGAAUUCCGGGUGUAGCGGUGGAAUGCGUAGAGAUCCGGAAGAACACCGGUGGCGAAGGCGGCCUGCUGGGCAGUAGCUGACACUGAGGCGCGACAGCGUGGGGAGCAAACA
rnacentral:rRNA from 1 species